GAUGAACGCUGGCGGCGUGCCUAAUACAUGCAAGUCGAGCGAACAGACGAGGAGCUUGCUCCUCUGACGUUAGCGGCGGACGGGUGAGUAACACGUGGAUACCCUACCUAUAAGUCUGGGAUAACUUCGGGAAACCGGAGCAAAUACCGUAUAAUAUAUUGAUCCGCAGGGUUCAUUAGUAAAAGACGGUUGUUCGGUCUCUUCUCGCGGGUUCUGCGCCGCAUUGGCUGGUUGUGACGGUAAAGGCUUACCAAGGCGAGGAUGCGUAGCCGACCUGAGAGGGUGAUCGGCCACACUGGAACUGAGACACGGUCCAGACUCCUACGGGAGGCAGCAGUAGGGAAUCUUCCGCAAUGGGCGAAAGCCUGACGGAGCAACGCCGAGUGAGUGAUGAAGGUCUUCGGAUCGUAAAACUCUGUUAUUAGGGAAGAACAAAUGUGUAAGUAACUAUGCACGUCUUGACGGUACCUAAUCAGAAAGCCACGGCUAACUACGUG
rnacentral:rRNA from 1 species